UUUUCGGUUAAUCUGUACGCUCAACGUACAGGCUGCCGGGAAUACUGCAAAGCUAGGGAGUGGGAGAGGUAGACGGUACUCGGUAGGAAGGGGUAAAAUCCUUUGAUCUAUUGAUGACCACCUGUGGCGAAGGCGGUCUACCAGAACACGUCCGACGGUGAGGGAUGAAAGCUGGGGGAGCAAACCGGAUUAGAUACCCGGGUAGUCCCAGCUGUAAACCAUGCAAACUCAGUGAUGCAUUGGCUUGUGGCCAAUGCAGUGCUGCAGGGAAGCCGUUAAGUUUGCCGCCUGGGAAGUACGUACGCAAGUAUGAAACUUAAAGGAAUUGGCGGGGGAGCACCACAAGGGGUGAAGCCUGCGGUUCAAUUGGAGUCAACGCCAGAAAUCUUACCCGGAGAGACAGCAGAAUGAAGGUCAAGCUGAAGACUUUACCAGACAAGCUGAGAGGUGGUGCAUGGCCGUCGCCAGCUCGUGCCGUGAGAUGUCCUGUUAAGUCAGGUAACGAGCGAGAUCCCUGCCUCUAGUUGCCACCAUUACUCUCAGGAGUAGUGGGGCGAAUUAGCGGGACCGCCGCAGUUAAUGCGGAGGAAGGAAGGGGGCACGGCAGGUCAGUAUGCCCCGAAACUCUGGGGCCCCACGCGGGCUUGCAUGGUAACCACCAUUGGUUUCCAAUCCGAAAGGAUGACGUACUCCCCAACGUUACCCAGUUUUGACUGAGGGCUGCACCUCCCCCUCCCGAAUAUGGAAUCCCUAAUACCUGCGUGUCAUUAUCCGCGCGUGAAUACCCCCCUGCUCCCUUG
rnacentral:rRNA from 1 species